rnacentral:snRNA from 1 species
GGAUGUGAGGACGAUCUGGCUGUAACAUCUGUCACCCCAUUGAUCACCAGGGUUGAUUUGGCUAAUCUGGCUAGCUAGGCCGGUGUCCCCUUCCUCCCUCACCGCUCCAUGUGCGUCCCUCCUGAAGCUGCAUGCUUGGUCAAAGAGGACAACCAUCCCCGAUAGAGGAGGACCGUUCUUUCGUCAAGGGUAUACGAGUAGCUGCGCUCCCCUGCUAGAACCUCCAAACAAGCUCUCAUGCAGGGAGCCCAAUGUGGGACUCGAUCCCGGGUCUCCAGGAUCACACCCCGGGCCAAAUGCGGUGCUG